CCUACGGGGCGCAGCAGUGGGGAAUAUUGGACAAUGGGCGAAAGCCUGAUCCAGCCAUGCCGCGUGUGUGAAGAAGGCCUUCGGGUUGUAAAGCACUUUCAGUGGGGAAGAAAGCCUUGGGGCUAAUACCCUCGAGGAAGGACAUCACCCACAGAAGAAGCACCGGCUAACUCCGUGCCAGCAGCCGCGGUAAUACGGAGGGUGCGAGCGUUAAUCGGAAUUACUGGGCGUAAAGCGCGCGUAGGCGGUCUGAUAAGCCGGUUGUGAAAGCCCCGGGCUCAACCUGGGAACGGCAUCCGGAACUGUCAGGCUAGAGUGCAGGAGAGGAAGGUAGAAUUCCCGGUGUAGCGGUGAAAUGCGUAGAGAUCGGGAGGAAUACCAGUGGCGAAGGCGGCCUUCUGGACUGACACUGGCGCUGAGGUGCGAAAGCGUGGGUAGCAAACAGGAUUAGAUACCCUGGUAGUC
rnacentral:rRNA from 1 species